GAUCAUGACCUGAGCUAAAAUCAAGAGUCAGACACUCAACCAACUGAGCCACUCAGGACUCUCCAAACACCUGCUUCUCUUGUCCCAGGAAUAUGCAGAAGAGCCAUCAGAGAGUUGAGGGAUAGUGGAAUCACUAAAAUAGCCACAUAAAAGGCCACUCACCAACAUUAACAUCGAAACUGGACUUGGUGUGAGCAAGUGAUCAAUUUUUAUCAGGGAUAAAACAGAAUGGAUGAGAGACACUCCUAACUUACGCCUUUAAAGGGAAAUGGACAAGCAUUCCUCUACGCACUUUGUGCUCUUCCUGCCAAUGAAGUGAAGAUAUUAGAACGAAGAUUUAGAGACAGACUUUGGGAGUUGAGCAUGGUAGAAUUGUACUACCAGUACUGGAUUAUCCACUUCUGUUGUUUCAUGAGAACAAAAUAAACAUCUUUCUUUUU